GUUCCUGCUUUGAUACCAGCAAAUGGCUAUCUCAGAGGGAUUGCAUCGUCCUUGGAUCUCUGUCACAGCUUGAUCAAUCUGAGGAACAGAAGGGGAGAAAUACAUUAAAAAGACCAAUUGAUAGGAGGAUACAAUAUAUUGAUGAAUGCACAGAGAGGACUGCAAUAUAUUGAUGAAGAGGUUAAUACUUCCAGGAGCUUCAUCAUCGCUGAUACCAGAAUCGGUGGUGGCUGUGGAUUCAUCAUCGUCCAUUACAAAAUUUUCGUUGUAAUCUGAUUCCACUUCACUCAGAUUACUCUCUGCUUCUUCAUACCAUGUCAGAAGACUUUCGAAGUUUGGAUCACCAAAUCACACUCUUUUUUACAGAAAACAUGCCCUGACAUUAUAAAAAAUAUAUACGUUAACAAAGUUCUUUGGUCAAAAUGACCUCAGUUCAAAUUCAAACGCCACUACAGAAAACACCAAAUAACUUACGUAAGUGCGAUGCUAUUUACAAGCUUAUUGGCGGGAAAACAAAAGUUAUUCACAACCAGAAUGGUCCAUUUCUAAAAAUAGGGGUGGGUGGUCCAAACAUUUUGGAAAACUGUUGAGGUCACUAUGACCACAGGUCUAUGGUUAUCAGUUAAUUGGUAAUACAUAAUAACAAUUAAUGUACUAAAACAUAAUACAAUAACUCUAUGCUCACUGCAUUAAGGAAAUAAAGUCACAGAUUUCUAACAUUUAUCAUGCAAAAUAUUUAUUUCCUCUUCCUUCUUCCAUAUUUAUGCAAAAUAUUUAUGCGCCUCCUCUUUUCCAUUUUCUUCAGUUUUGGAUUGAUUGGUUCAAACUUUAUUCAAAAUAUAUUUCCUCCCUCACCGAGACAUUAUCUAGUAACAAUACAAAAAUCACCUGUCUCCAUAGGUGUGGAAAUAUAUUUAUUGUCUCAAAUGUUGAAUGGAGCCAAUCUUCCUAAGAUAAUAGGAGGAGGGUGUUGUAUUAACUUUAAUUUAUGGAAAUCUUUCAUUCUGUUUAUGCUUUAAUUACAAUAUCUCCAACCCACUAAUGUGUGAAACUAUGUAGUCAUAACUGCAUGCUAAUACCCU